AUGUUGGAGAGCAUACUUAGCACAGAGUUAACUAACAUUAGCAAAUGGCUUGGAGAUAAUAAGCUAUCUCUGCACUUAGAGAAAACUGAAGCAAUUAUUUUUGGAUCCAGACUUAAAUUGUGUAGGUCGUCCGAAAUCAGAGUGGAGUUAGGGGGUGAGGCGCUGACUACUAAAACUUCUGUUAGCUACUUGGGAUGUAUCCUUGAUGGAAGCUUGGGAGGUGUGAGCAUGGCCAAUAAGGUGCUAGGGAAGGUGCUAGGGACUAAGUUUUUGGCUAGAAAGUCCAAACUGCUUGAUAAGGACUCCAUGAAAGUGCUAGCUACUGCCCUCAUUCAAUGCCAUUUUGACUAUGCUAGUACUUCCUGGUUUGGGGGCUUAUCUAAACUUAUGAAGGGGAAGCUCCAGAUAGCCCAGAACAAGCUGAUCAGGUUAGUAUUGAAGGUGAGUCCACGUACUCACAUAGGCAGGAGCUGCUUUCAGGAACAAAACUGGCUGCCUGUUGAGGCUAGGGUGUCCGAGAUUAGACUAGGUUUGGUGUACAGGAGUAUUUAUGGUCCUGCGCCCAGAUAUCUAAGUGAUUACUUUCCUCGUGUUAGGGAUGCACACAAUCACAGCACCAGAUCAGGUGUUGCUGAUGUGUGCUUAUACAGGUUCAGGAGUAAUGCUGGGAAAGGUACUUUCUUGUAUACUGGAGCCUCAGAAUGGAAUGAGUUGCCUCUGCCUAUAAAAACAACAUCCUCUCUGGGCAGCUUUAAAAGUAAAGUAAAAUAUGUUUAAUGUCUUCUGUGCCCAUAUGAAUAACCCCUAUGAUGUAACUGGAAUGAUGAGAUAGAUGUUCUUCUUCUCUGUUUUUGUUUUAUUAUUUCACUGCCAUACUGUGUUCGAUCUUGUCUAGCCAUCUUGUCUCAAGAGGACCACAAUGGAAAUAAAUCCCAGACUUUAUUGUGUGUUAUCUUAAAUUAUUUUAUUGAUGUGCAUGUAUGGCUUAUUCAAGUUUUAUGUGUGCUUGUUUUUAAAAAUGGUCAAAUUAAUAAACUAAACUAAAUCAAACACAUAAAAUAUAUGGAAACCACGUUUGACUCCGCUCCAUUGAUUCCAUUCCAGCCUUUACAAUGAGCCUGUCUUCCUAUAGCACCUCCAACCGCAAUAGAGAUCCUGG
rnacentral:lncRNA from 1 species